UCUAUGGCCUUACCACCUGAACAUGCCUGCUCUCGUCUGAUCUCAGACUCUAAGCAGGUUUGGCCCUGGCUAGCAUUUGGAUGUCAGAACAAGAUUUCUUUUUAGGGUGAGAAUAGAG
rnacentral:rRNA from 1 species